UACGUAGGGUGCGAGCGUUAAUCGGAAUUACUGGGCGUAAAGCGUGCGCAGGCGGUUCGCCAUGUCCGAUGUGAAAGCCCUGGGCUCAACCCAGGAACUGCAUUUGAAACUCCCUUUCUUGAGUGUCGGAGAGGAAAGCGGAAUUCCUGGUGUAGAGGUGAAAUUCGUAGAUAUCAGGAGGAACACCGGUGGCGAAGGCGGCUUUCUGGACGACAACUGACGCUGAGACGCGAAAGCGUGGGGAGCAAACAGG
rnacentral:rRNA from 1 species